AUUUCGUCCAGUCAGUUUGUUCGCCAUACUAAAUUGCAUAAAAAAAAAAUACAGAAUAAAUUAGUAUCUAUUUUAAAAUUAAUAAUAAUAAUAAUAAUAAUAAUAACUUUAUUGCAUAACCAUGAUUUUAACAAACUCAGCACUGGAAAUUACAGUAAAAGUAGAUACGAAUUCAUUUGUACAUUUGGAUCAGUUUAAACAUCUGUGUCUGAACUAGGUUAUAAAACCUGUAUCUCAGACAACAGCGCUCAACCCUCAUUACAUAGUAUAAUGUUAGUUCAGCUAAAUUUUUAGUGCUACAUAUAGAAUAUUGAUAUUAUAUAAAGUUAGUAUAUCUAAUUAUAACAAUUGGCAAUAAUGAAAAUUGUGAAAUAAUGUGUCCCUGUGUGUAGAGUGUAAUUUGAAUGUAUGUGUGUGGGAGAGUGUGUAAAAUUAUUUGUAUGUUACUGUAAUAUUAUUUAAAUAAUUUAAAGGUUUAUCUUGAAUUUAAUUGUAAAUUACUAUCAGUUUAUGGUAAAAUAAAAGGAAUAAUAACUAUCGUAAGUCAUUAUCACCAUUAUUAUAUCAAUCGUUAUGUGUCCACUGCUGAACGUAGGCCUCCCCCAUAGACUUCCAUAAGGAACGGUCCCAACCUAUCAGCAUUCACUGAUUCCCUAUUGUGUAUGUGUUGCAGAUCGUGAAGAAACCUUAAUACUCUAAUACACUCUUUUUGAAGAACCCUAUACUGUAGUCGCUAGGAAAAACCUAGGCAGAGAGCUCAUUCUACAGGCAGUGCGUUCGCGGGAGAAAACUUUUCUUAAACCGCGCUGUACGCGACAAUUUAGGCUCUCGCGUGUGAGGAUGAAUUACCUAUCAGUGACGAACGAAGUGAUGAUAAAAUUUGAGGAUGUUAUUUCGAAUAAUUCCUCAGAAUAUAAUCCGUUAUAUAAGUGGUAGAACACACAAAUGGAAACAAGGUCUAGCCUUAGACUAUAGGGCUCGAUAGAAUCUGCGAGCUUGGAUCGCCGACAAUUAUCAUAGCCCAUCUUUGAACUGUAUCAAGAGGCUCAAGCUGGUAUUCAGGGGGGAUUGGAUUCUAAAAAAAAGGCGUGUACUUUCCGAUAUGUCUUUGCAAAGUCCGCAUCUUGGGAUGGGCACUAGACAAUUCUGGGAUGGGCGCGAUCCACUCGGCAUCUACGAGCUCAACCCAGACUAAUCAGAUUCGAGCUUAUUCAGAAAAGCUUGUUUUCUAAAUUGGCCCGACCGGGAAUGUUAUCAGGGACCUUAUUUAGACAAAACAACGUCCCCACCACUGCACCACUGAAGAUGUCUAGUAAUAUAAAACGAUAAUUGUAGAUGUUAUUUCCAACAAUUAACAUUAAUCCAUUCCUAA